ensembl:miRNA microRNA 375
GCUCCCGCCCCGCGACGAGCCCCUCGCACAAACCGGACCUGAGCGUUUUGUUCGUUCGGCUCGCGUGAGGCAGGGG